UUUGAUGGCGACCGGCGCACGGGUGAGUAACACGUAUCCAACCUGCCGAUGACUCGGGGAUAGCCUUUCGAAAGAAAGAUUAAUACCCGAUGGCAUAGUUCUUCCGCAUGGUAGAACUAUUAAAGAAUUUCGGUCAUCGAUGGGGAUGCGUUCCAUUAGGUUGUUGGCGGGGUAACGGGCCCACCAAGCCUUCGAUGGAUAGGGGUUCUGAGAGGAAGGUCCCCCACAUUGGAACUGAGACACGGUCCAAACUCCUACGGGAGGCAGCAUG
rnacentral:rRNA from 1 species